UACGGGGGGGGUAAGCGUUGUUCGGAAUUACUGGCGUAAAGGGCUCGUAGGCGGCCAACUAAGUCAGACGUGAAAUCCCUCAGCUUAACUGGGGAACUGCGUCUGAUACUGGAUGGCUUGGAUUCGGGAGAGGAAUGCGGAAUUCCAGGUGUAGCGGUGAAAUGCGUAGAUAUCUGGAGGAACAUCGGUGGCGAAGGCGGCAUCCUGGACCGGUAUUGACGCUGAGGCGCGAAAGCUAGGGGAGC
rnacentral:rRNA from 1 species